GAUGAACGCUGGCGGCGUGCCUAAUACAUGCAAGUCGAGCGAACAGACGAGGAGCUUGCUCCUCUGACGUUAGCGGCGGACGGGUGAGUAACACGUGGAUAACCUACCUUUAAGACUGGGAUAACUUCGGGAAACCGGAGCUAAUACCGGAUAAUAUAUUGAACCGCAGGGUUCAAUAGUGAAAGACGGUUUUGCUGUAACUUAUAGAUGGAUCCGCGCCGCAUUAGCUAGUUGGUAAGGUAACGGCUUACCAAGGCAACGAUGCGUAGCCGACCUGAGAGGGUGAUCGGCCACACUGGAACUGAGACACGGUCCAGACUCCUACGGGAGGCAGCAGUAGGGAAUCUUCCGCAAUGGGCGAAAGCCUGACGGAGCAACGCCGCGUGAGUGAUGAAGGUCUUCGGAUCGUAAAACUCUGUUAUUAGGGAAGAACAAAUGUGUAAGUAACUAUGCACGUCUUGACGGUACCUAAUCAGAAAGCCACGGCUAACUACGUG
rnacentral:rRNA from 1 species